rnacentral:rRNA from 1 species
AAAAGCUACCCUGGGGAUAACAGGCUAAUCUCUCCCAAGAGUUCAUAUCGACGGGGAGGUUUGGCACCUCGAUGUCGGCUCAUCACAUCCUGGGGCUGGAGUAGGUCCCAAGGGUUGGGCUGUUCGCCCAUUAAAGUGGUACGCGAGCUGGGUUCAAAACGUCGUGAGACAGUUUGGUUCAUAUCCAUCGCGGGCGUAAGAAGUUUGAGGGGAGCUGCUCCUAGUACGAGAGGACCGGAGUGGACGGAUCAACGGUGUACCAGUUGUCACGCCAGUGGCACGGCUGGAAAGCCGCAUCCGGAAGGGAUAAACGCUGAAAGCAUCUAAGCGUGAAGCCCACCCCGAGAUGAGACUUCUCAUCAGAAAUGAGUAAGACUCCUUAUAGACUAUGAGGUUGAUAG